UACGAAGGGGGCUAGCGUUGCUCGGAAUCACUGGGCGUAAAGGGUGCGUAGGCGGGUCUUUAAGUCCGGGGUGAAAUCCUGGAGCUCAACUCCAGAACUGCCUUUGAUACUGAGGAUCUUGAGUUCGGGAGAGGUGAGUGGAACUGCGAGUGUAGAGGUGAAAUUCGUAGAGAUUCGCAAGAACACCAGUGGCGAAGGCGGCUCACUGGCCCGAUACUGACGCUGAGGCACGAAAGCGUGGGGAGCAAACAGG
rnacentral:rRNA from 1 species